rnacentral:lncRNA from 1 species
CGACGUUAACAAUAGAAUAUUUUAUUCUACAUAAUAGGUUUAUAUUUUUAGAUAAAGUUUAUAAAUUGAACUAAUUUAAAUGCCAACAUUCUGUCCGUAAAUUAUAAGUGUGUGACUAACGAAUAAGAUGAUGACAGAAUGAGCGAUGUUACAAUAGAAGAUUCUACGUAUGAUAAGAUUUUGGCUUUUAAAAAUGUUUUCUUAAAUGUCUUCUUGGUGUUUACACGGAAAAAAAGUUAAUAUUAAUAGAACAAAACAUAAAUUUGAUACUGAUAAACGAAAAAUACAGUAAACCAUAAUUUUAUAGGCCUUCGUGAUAUUGAACCACUACGAGAACACUUUUCACAUUUGGAUGAUUAUAAAUAUUCAUCUAUCUUCAGUUGCAAAUACCAGGUAGAUUUUCCGAAUGAUUGAUUGAUCUCAUACAUUAUCAACGAUCAUUACAUUUAGCCUACACUCAGGCUUUAGAGGGUGUGCCAGGGAAUUUUCCCCGAACCUAGAGAAAACUUAGUUUCCAAAGCGGUUUCUACCUUAUAAAAUUUAUGUUGUUUUUACUAAUAGAAAAUAAAAAAUCUUAAAGACUAUCUUUUAUUAAUAAAGAAACAUUUUAUAUACACUAUUUCAUAACUAUUGAACACUGAUAGUUGGUCGUGUGUUCGUGCCUCGCCAACGGGUUGGCCACGUAAAGUUUUCCUGGUUUUCUUCACAUUUAAAACGCCUGAAUAUGGCCAGUUUUCCUUAGAAAGUCCUUCCGGGAGGCAUCCCCUCGGAGAUAAAGGGAAAAGAUUAGAUAAAGGAAAAAACAUCCGUUAAGAUAAAUAAUCAAGUAUAUUGCAAUACAAAGAAAGCAUCAGUCAAUUUUAUCAAUACUUGGCUAUAAAUAUAUUAACGAUUUACUUCACAUUUAAGUUAACAAUAAAUUUUCUUUGCUUUAACGUUUCCCCUUUUAAGUUCCACAAGAUAUAAACACUAGAAUUAUAUCAAAGUUUGGAAAAUAUUAAAAUGUAAAAUACAGAUUUGAAAUUAGCAUCACUUUGUAAUGUAAUUUUACCUAAUCAUUAAGAUGAAGGUUCAUUUCCUGACCUAUUCCUAGCAGGAGUGUGUGUCCCUGUAUUGUAUCUGAGCGGUGAAAUC